AUAUUGUCCUUCUGGAGAUCUUUCAGCUGUGCACAACACGUGAAUAGAAUCACUGCUCUGUCAUGGCUCUUGGUUAGGCUGCCCAGAAGACUGCAGGACAAACUGCCACCUUAAUUAUUGAUGAAAAUGAACAAAGAAAACAGCACAGUGACUUCCUGAAAGGAUGGUGAAUCAUUCCCUGCGUGUUUCCUUGGCCAAAGCUAAGAGUCACAGGGCAUCUGCUUCAAGAUUUUCAUCUGCACCUGACCAUGAAGUUCUGGUUUUGCUGUGGUACCUGGUUUUCCUGGGUGGCAGAUUGUUCACAUUUCCUCUUGUAAAAAUGCUUCAGAAGAGCAAUAGUCCUGAAAAUGGUACUGGGUAUUUCAAGCCUAAUUUUCCAUCUCAGGGGAGAUGAACAAAUCAUGAAAUGCUGUAUUGAUAGCAAGAUAUUAGCAUGAGGCCAAGGCUGGAGAAUAAUUUUCACCUUUAACUCUGUUGCAUCUCACAUGUAGACUUGUUAAUGCAUCUAAGAGCAUUUAAGUCAAUGUGGCUUGUGUAGGAAUCCCAGAUGAAAAGAAAUUUAAAGUCUUAAAUCCUUUUCAUACUCACUUUAUUCAC